UACGAGUGCCUCAAGCGUUAUCCGGAAUCAUUGGGCGUAAAGGAUGUGUAGGUGGCCGUGUUAGUCUCUCGUUAAAUUCUUCGGCUUAACCGGGGGUCUGCGGGGGAAACGGCACAACUAGAGGAUGCAAGGGGUCUGCGGAACUCAUAGUGUAGCGGUGAAAUGCGUUGAUAUUAUGGGGAACACCAAAAGCGAAGGCAGCAGACUAGGGCACUCCUGACACUGAAACAUGAAAGCGUGGGUAGCGAAUGGG
rnacentral:rRNA from 1 species